GUAUAUUUUAUUAGCCAUAUAUUUUGACCAUUGUUCUUUUGAGUAUAAAAGUAAGUCGAAAACUAUAAAAAAUAUUUAUCCGGCAAAAACUGGUAUUAAAGAUGAAGUGUUACAUUUUUGCGGUAUUGCUGGUGUUCCUGACAAUUGCCACUUUUUUGGUAAGUGGUCAAGAUGAUGAAGACUGGCAGCCAGCUCCUAAUUCUUGCGAAUGGGUAGAUUGCAGUCCCAAGUAGGGCCUAAGGUUUCUUGCCUCUGCUCAAACACCCAAUACUAGACGCAUUUGACAGAAUUUCGUUAUAUGGCGGAAUAUGCAGACGUUAUAAACAAUAUCCUUUUUGAUGAUGCAAGCUGUGUUUAUAUCUGCUUAAUACUAUUAAAAUAAUAACGUUUCAA